GACCAGGAGCUGAUCUGAGCUCAGCCUGGUUCUGCUGCUAAUGUGAAGUCACUGAAUAAAAGAUGCAAACAGAUUUUUUACACAAAGACAGAAAGAAGUUCAUGUAGAACAUCAGCUGAAUUAACAAGAAGGUUGAGAGAAGACUUUAGCACUUUAGACACAGAAGCAGACCGGCUGCUACAGACUGACACUUUUUACAAGGAGACAAACAACUUCAGCUUCUGAUGUGACGCUGAGUGAUCGAGUCUCACGUGUCAGAGCUGCAAACUGCAGUUUCACCACUAGAUGCCACUAAAUCACACACACGCACGCACACACACACACACACACACAACCUUUAACACAGGCUGCAGCUCAUUAAACUGAAACUAUGAUCAGCCAAUCCACAGAGAAACUGUUAGCAUGCUGCUAAAUGACACUUUGAGUUUACUGACCUGCGGUGCUGAGGAGCUGCUGAGACUUCUCCACGUCAUCCGUUUGACUUCUGUUCAGGUGUGGCAGCAGCAGGUAACACAGCAGCGUCCCCAGCGUGGCCACACACGGCGUGAUGAAGUAUCCCAACGCCUCCGUGGUGUUGCUCUCUGCGUUACCUGCAGAAGAGAUGAAGUUGUUCAGUUUUUGUCCUCGUGCUGCAGAAAACUGUGUGAACAAAUAUCCAUACAGAUGGAGAAGAGCAUGGCGAGUGCAGCGAAGAUCCCGGCCAGGCCCUGACCGCUCAUGAACAGAGUGCUGUAACGAGGAGGAAACAGGCCGACCACACCGAACAGACUGCCCUGCAGCACCGCACUGAACACUGCACACACACA